UGCUGGGGCAACAGAAGCUGGAGUCACGUAACAAAAUGUCACGCGCACGCAAUUUUGUAACAGUUUUCAGUGGCUUUACAUACAGGCACAUACAGAGAGAGCCCAGUGUCGUUCUUAAAAUAUGUAUUCACACGGUGUUUAUGUAACUACAAAAUGUUCGCGUAUGUGUAUUAUUUAGACGACGGUCUUAAAGACUCUGUUAAUGUUAAAGACAUUAAACAUUUUGGUCCAAAAAGUACGACGGAUUUCUCAUCGACUCACACUUAGCCUACUGGAUUCUCCGAAAAGGACGGAUCGCAACAGGACAAAUUUUAUUCAUGAAAGACAGCACAGAAGUCAAGCAUUGAGGAAGGAAAGCAGACUUUUCUGAUGGACAUUUUAAAAAAGAGACAAGCCUUGAAAAGUAAGCAACAACUAUGUCAUCCCCAUUCUACAACAAAAAGGGAAAAACUUCUUGUUGACAUUGAGAUAUCAAGUGAGAGUGAAGAUGAACUAAUUCCAAAAUCGAAAUACGACGAACUGGAGAAGAGGUAUAAAUUGCUCUCUUGGAAACACCAAGAGGCAAUUGCUGAAGGAAAGUAACUGAGGAAAUUAAAUGUUGAACUUCAGACAUGCUUAGUUGCCAAAAUUCUUUGUGCCUCCAUCCAGGCCCUUCCAGUGACAACUGGUAAGUUUUUGUGCAUAAUAAUAAUAAUUACAAGAAGAAUAAUAAUAAAUAAAUAUAAACCAUUUAUGGAAGCAACACAUCUCCAGCCUCCAUUCCAGACCUUCCAGGGCCAACAGGAAGCAACACAUCUCCAGCCUCCAUUCCAGACCUUCCAGUGACAUCUGAGAGCAGCCCCCCUUCAGAAAAAAUAAAAAACCCUCAAACAGCAGUUGAGAACAGUUCUGCUGUUGUUACCUAUCAAAACACUGAAGAAAUUUUGGAAAACCAAGAGGUUGAUAUUGGUGAAGGUGUUGCAAUACACAGUGAAAAAUGGAAGAAGAUUCAGGCUAAUUUAAAGGACAGCUUGUUUGUAAAAGAACUGGCAGUGUGCAUUUGGGGAACAAGCACAUGCCAACCGUAGCCCGGAAGGAAAAAGUUGCCCCACCACAAAACCAGAUGCUAGGCCCCUCUGACACCUCACAAAUAUAGAGCAAUUAAAGGUUGCUUUCAAAAGUGGCUGGAAGGCAAAGAUUUGGAGGAAGCAGAGCUGAAAGCCAGAGCGGGAAAACUUGGGCGAUAUUUAACAGAAAAAAUUCAAGAUAUCAACAAAAAAAUUCAAUCAAAAAAGUGAAUUUCCAUAUAUGUAAGCUGCUGAAAACUGUUAAGUAUUUGUAUUUCAGUUAGGUUAUUACUGCCAAUUAUUAAGUAAUUUAUCUCUUAUUAAGGUUACACACACAAAAAAGGUGUUUUUAAUGAUAUUCACAUAAAUAAACGGAAUUCUCCUCCUUAAUGUCUGUGUUUGUUUUAUGUUUUUAAAGCAGAACUGGCCUAUGACAUGUAUUGUAACUGGACGCUGUUGUUAUUUAACAAUUGUUAAUUA